rnacentral:lncRNA from 1 species
GGGCGGAUCACGAGGUCAGGAGAUUGAGACCAUCCUGGCUAACAUGGCGAAACCCCAUCUCUACUAAAGAUACAAAAAAAUUAGCCGGGUGUGGUGGUGGGUGCCUGUAGUCCCAGCUACUCGGGAGGCUGAGGCAGGAGAAUGGCGUGAACCCGGGAGGCAGAGCUUGCAGUGAGCCGAGAUCGCGCCACUGCACUCCAGCCUGGGUGACAGAGUGAGACUCCAUCUCAAAAAAAAAAAAAAAGCUUUAUCACAUUUUCAGAGUAUCUAUUUUCCUAAUCCUUUAUCUAACCUGGGUAUUAUGUUGGAAAAGGGGAAAGGGAAAAGUCACCGAACUUGAUAGGUGGCAAAUGGUGUCCCUGGUGUGUUUUAUUCCAUGAUAGAGUAUUUUUCCCUCACAUUAAGCUGCCAUUUGCAGUGCAUGGGUUAUGUGACUAGUAUUCUAGACCCAGUUCAAAUGCCCAUCUUGGUAGAUGGGGGGAAACCUGUUUUCACCAGUUAUAUAGAUUGAGUUCACCACUCGGAAGGGUUCUGCUAAUAAGGAAGGGGAUGCUGAGCAGUAAAGAAAAGAAAGAUGAUCCACCAGGCUGAAAAAUGCAUCUUUUUCCUUUUGAUUUAUGUAUUUAGAGGAUAUUAACCUUUUGUUAAGUAUUUCUCUCCAAAUUAAGUUUUUUAUUUGUAUUAUGCUGGGCUUUAAAAAAAAAAUUUAAGUCGGCAGUGUCCUUGCCGACUUUUGAUGUCUCCAUAAGGUGCAUACAGACUAUUUCCCAGAUGCUGUACAAGGCAGUUUUACUAUCACUGAAUACUGGCAACUACUCUGUGAGGUUAAAGUGGUAGUCUCCCUUUGUGUUAUUGUAUUCGCAAGUAUCUAGGCACUUUUGGAGCCUGCAUUAUUUGAAUAGGUACUGGCUCACUAUUUGCCAGGGUUGUCAGGAAUGUAAAUGGUCACAAUCCAGGCUACUUUUAAGUAAGUCAUCUAGGUGGUGCUUAGAACCCUCAAAUCCAUUCCAAAUAACUUUGAAGCCCCAUGUGUCUUUACCAGAAUAUAAUCGGAGGUUUAUCUGCUGUUACUUUGGUAGUGAUUAGAUAAUUGUACUGUCUAGUCUGUUUUGUCUGAGGAACAGGACUCUUUCAGCGUUUGUGGUUUUCCAGUAGACCACACUCAGCUGAAAGCAAGACUGUACUGAGACACCAAGGCUCUGAUAAUAAGGGACUUUGCCCUUCCAACAGACUGAGGGCAGGCCUUGAAAUGCUCUUUGAACACACAAUUCUAUUUUAGCUUUAAAAAGACCAUGUGCCUCCCCUGGAUAAGUGCUUUAAAUCACCCUUCUCUAUUAUGGAGGCCCAGUCCUAACAUCUCAUUUACCUUAUUUCAUGUGUAGGAGGAAGAAACAAUUACAGGUUCUGAUAUCUUCACUGCUAACUAUUCCUAUAAAUUAUCCUCUAAGAAACACUACCAACCCCUUCUCAAAAAAGGUGCAUGAGCACAUAUUUUCUUAGGAAUACUCACACUACUGGAUGUGGAAAACCAGUCGUGCUCAACUGAAUGAACUACAGAAAAAUGCCUUUAGUUUUCCAUCUUUGAACUACAAUCUUUGAAGAAACUCCUUGUGCAGGUAAAACUUGGUACCCAGGACUGCAACUGAGGAAUUCACAAUCUCAAGGGAAGAAGCAAGUGAUCCUGGUAGAGUGGUUUUAAAGAGCUUCCCAAGCUUACAUAUACACGAGAAUGUAAUUUUUCCAUCCUAUUUUUAAGCUGAUUUACAAAUAAAUAGUAAAACAAAUUACAGUUAGCCUUCCAUAUCCAUGGGUGCUGCAUUGGUGGAUUCAACGGAGAUAGAAAAUAUUCAGGGUGAAAAAUUCCCACGAAGUUCUAAAAGACAAAACGAAUUUGCCAUGUGCCAAGUACUGUGUUGCAUCCACGCGAAUGAAGUGAUGUGUAGUUAUUGUAUUGGGUAUUGAAAGUAAUGUAGAGAUGAUUUAUAGUAUAUGGGAGGAUGUGCAGAGGUUAUAUGCAAAUAUUGUGCCAUUUUACAAAGGGACUUAAGCAUCCAUGGAUUUUGGUAUUUGUGGGGAUCCUGGAACCAACCCCACACUUAUACCAAGGGACAACUAUAUAGAGGCAUACAGAGCAAAAAGUGAAAGGGCAAGUGUACUUCCUCCCCAGAUUCUACGGCCAUUAAGUUCGUGCGUAUCUAUCUUUCUACAACUUUUCUGUGCAUUGUUUUUUACACUGUGUAUCAGUCCUUUUUCAAUGUCCAGCAUAUUUUGGCUACAAAGUACCAUGUAAUAAGAUAUGCCACCAUUUAUUUAAACAUUUUCCCAUUAUGGGCACAAGUCACUCCUCCCCACAAUAUUCUGUGGUUACAACAAUGUACUGAAGGAAUCGUAGUACACAACAUCUUUGUACAUUCUUACAAGUAUUCUAUAGGAUAAAUUCCUGGAAGGGAAAUGUCUGGGUCAAAGCAUAAGCUAAAUUUUAAAUUUUUGAUGUUACAGGCCGGGUGUGGUGGCUCACACAUGUAAUCCCAGCACUUUGGGAGGCUGAGGCAGGUGGAUCACAAGGUCAAGAGAUCAAGACCAUCCUGGCCAACAUGGUGAAACCCUGUCUCUACUAAAAAUACAAAAAAAAAAAAAAAAAAAAAAAAUUAGCUGGGCGUGGUGGCACGCACCUGUCCUCCCAGCUACUUGGGAGGCUGAGGCAGAAGAAUCACUUGAACCAAGGAGGUGGAGGUUGCAGUGAGCCGAGAUUGCGUCAUUGCACUCCAGCCUGGCGACAGAGCCAAGACUGUCUCAAAAAAACAAAUUUGAUGUUACCAAACUACCUUCCCCACCAACUGCAGAUGAUCUUACAUUUUUGCCAGUCGUGAGUGCAGUGCAAAAAACAAAUCUUACAGUACUUUAAUUGCAUUUAUCUGACAAAUGAAGUGAACCAUUUUAUCACAAGUCCAUUGGUCAUUUGUGUGACUUUAUGGAUUGCCUAUUCCUGUACUUAGUUCAUUUUCUGAGAUUGUCUUUUGCCUACUAGUUUGUAGAGUAAGAAGGUUGUACAAGGUUGAUUGCCUCCAGUCAACUGCAUGACUCUUCCUGAGUUUGCUCCACUGCCUACACCUCAGUAGGUAUCACCUGUGAGCUGCUUACAACAGUUCCCACCUUUACCUUUCUUCUUACAAAUGCUACAGGAAAAAAUGAUCAAUCCUUGAGUGAGACUUUAUGUGUGUCACCAACUCAGGAUCUUUGGCAUUUGAAGCUCCACUAAUAUCUUUUUACUACUUGUCCAAGCAAAUGAUAUUUAUUCUGGAUAAAGUGGAAGCUGUUUAACAUUGGCAGUUUUGAAACCCACUGAAUGAAUAUGAAUUUCAUCAUGGAUUGUCUUUAUGGCCUAGAGAGAUCAAAUCUAAAAUUGUUUGCCAAAUGUCAGUCCUGAACUUAACUAUAGUCCUAUUAACCUGAUAUUUGCUUAUCUUGAAUGAAGGUUAAAAAGAGGAGACUGGUUUCUUGUCCUUGUGAAAUUUACUCACAUCCAAUCAAUAGUUUCAGUGAUUCCUUUGUGUAAAAUUACAUGCUUCAGUAUGUGUGUAGGCAUUAAAGCAUAGGUUAGGGUGCCCAGCUCCUGGAUGACAUGUCUCUACCCAAGUUACAGGUAACUUGAGACCUGGUGUUUUUCCAUUCAACUAGCCAUUGUCUCUGCUUUCAGCCAUUCCUCUUAACACAGAUGUCACUAUUCUAAAACUAGCACCCUGUGGACCCACUGUUCAGAUUAUUUCAAGCUUGAGAGCAGAGCAUAAGCCAGUUUAUCUGACAGGUGGAGGACAGCACUCCUCUUGUACCUAUGUAUUUGUCUGGAAUUCCCCACAGCAAAACAGAGUCAACCAGCAUUUUCCCCUUUCCUACAUCCAUGAUACAUUCCCGUCAUUAUAGCACAACACUGACCUAAAAAAGUAAAAUUGUGGAGAAGGGGAAAGAAGUAUAUAUGAAGCCACAUGCCCUACGUACCUUCCAUUGCUUGUACUUUGAAACCAUCUUUCUUUCAAAUUAGUCAUUAUGCUUUACAGAUGACACGUGAGCCCAAGAUAAGUACAGUCAUCCCUUGGUAUCCAUGGGGGAUUGGAUCCUGGAUUUUCCCCCAUACCAAAAUCCAAGGAUGCUGAAGUCCCUGAUAUAAAAUGGUGAAGUAUUUUCAUAUAAUCUACACACAUCCUCCCCUAUACUUUAAAUCAUCUCUAGAUUACUUAUAAUUCCUAAUAAAAUGUAAAUGCUAUGUAAAUAGUUGUUACAUUGUUUAGGGAAUGACAGUAUGAAAGUCUGUGCCUGUUCAGAACGGAUGCAACACCAUCCCUUUCGCCACCCCCAUGCCCUCAAUUAUUUGCAAUUCACAGUGGGUUGAAUCCAUAGAUGCAGAACCCAACAACAGAGGGACAACUGUAAUCUGUCCAUGGUUAGGGAGCCAGUAAAAGGUGAAGCUCAGAUGAUACAGAUUUGUCUGACUUCAAGUUACGAAGGGGGUUUUGCUUGUGAGAAUAAACUAGUGAAAAUGUGGUUUUAUAAGUUGCUUUAAUGUAAUCUGCAGCCAGUCUUAAACACUGUUACCAUUUAACCACUUUUGGAUUGUACUAUAGACAAUUAGACAGGUAAUAAGACUGGACUGUUAAUAGGCCUUAGAGGCUUUAUAAACUGGAGCUUGAGAAAGAAGUCCUAAAAAUCUGCAGUGAUUAGCAACUCUUCUAAUGCAUCAUUAGAAGCACAUGGGGGAUCACCCCAUCCAAUGCUGCUUUCCAUGUUGCCCUGUGGAUUUUCUCCAUUUACCAGCACUAGUCAAGACACUAGUGCACCUCUAGUGACAGCUAAAAUUGAUAGUUUUU